rnacentral:rRNA from 1 species
UACGGAAGGGGCAAGCGUUGUUCGGAAUCACUGGGCGUAAAGGGCGCGUAGGCGGGAUGGCAAGUCGGUCGUGAAAUCCUUCGGCUCAACCGAAGAACGUCGGCCGAUACUGCCGUUCUUGAGGGAUGCAGAGGAGAUUGGAAUUCCCGGUGUAGCGGUGAAAUGUGUAGAGAUCGGGAGGAACACCGGUGGCGAAGGCGGGUCUCUGGGCAUCUCCUGACGCUGAGGCGCGAAAGCGUGGGGAGCAAACGGG